GUUUCCUACGGGAGGCAGCAGUGGGGAAUAUUGGACAAUGGGGGGAACCCUGAUCCAGCGACGCCGCGUGAGUGAAGAAGUAUUUCGGUAUGUAAAGCUCUAUCAGCAGGGAAGAAAGAAAUGACGGUACCUGACUAAGAAGACCCGGCUAACUACGUGCCAGCAGCCGCGGUAAUACGUAGGGGGCAAGCGUUAUCCGGAUUUACUGGGUGUAAAGGGAGCGUAGACGGUUACGCAAGUCUGGAGUGAAAGGCGGGGGCCCAAGCCCCGGACUGCUUUGGAAAAUGUAUAACUGGGGGGCAGGG
rnacentral:rRNA from 1 species